rnacentral:rRNA from 1 species
GACGAACGCUGGCGGCGUGCCUAAUACAUGCAAGUAGAACGCUGAAGAGAGGAGCUUGCUCUUCUUGGAUGAGUUGCGAACGGGUGAGUAACGCGUAGGUAACCUGCCUUGUAGCGGGGGAUAACUAUUGGAAACGAUAGCUAAUACCGCAUAACAAUGGAUGACACAUGUCAUUUAUUUGAAAGGGGCAAUUGCUCCACUACAAGAUGGACCUGCGUUGUAUUAGCUAGUAGGUGAGGUAAUGGCUCACCUAGGCGACGAUACAUAGCCGACCUGAGAGGGUGAUCGGCCACACUGGGACUGAGACACGGCCCAGACUCCUACGGGAGGCAGCAGUAGGGAAUCUUCGGCAAUGGGGGCAACCCUGACCGAGCAACGCCGCGUGAGUGAAGAAGGUUUUCGGAUCGUAAAGCUCUGUUGUAAGUCAAGAACGGGUGUGAGAGUGGAAAGUUCACACUGUGACGGUAGCUUACCAGAAAGGGACGGCUAACUACGUGCCAGCAGCCGCGGUAAUACGUAGGUCCCGAGCGUUGUCCGGAUUUAUUGGGCGUAAAGCGAGCGCAGGCGGUUUGAUAAGUCUGAAGUUAAAGGCUGUGGCUCAACCAUAGUUCGCUUUGGAAACUGUCAAACUUGAGUGCAGAAGGGGAGAGUGGAAUUCCAUGUGUAGCGGUGAAAUGCGUAGAUAUAUGGAGGAACACCGGUGGCGAAAGCGGCUCUCUGGUCUGUAACUGACGCUGAGGCUCGAAAGCGUGGGGAGCGAACAGGAUUAGAUACCCUGGUAGUCCACGCCGUAAACGAUGAGUGCUAGGUGUUGGAUCCUUUCCGGGAUUCAGUGCCGCAGCUAACGCAUUAAGCACUCCGCCUGGGGAGUACGACCGCAAGGUUGAAACUCAAAGGAAUUGACGGGGGCCCGCACAAGCGGUGGAGCAUGUGGUUUAAUUCGAAGCAACGCGAAGAACCUUACCAGGUCUUGACAUCCCGAUGCUAUUUCUAGAGAUAGAAAGUUACUUCGGUACAUCGGUGACAGGUGGUGCAUGGUUGUCGUCAGCUCGUGUCGUGAGAUGUUGGGUUAAGUCCUGCAACGAGCGCAACCCCUAUUGUUAGUUGCCAUCAUUCAGUUGGGCACUCUAGCGAGACUGCCGGUAAUAAACCGGAGGAAGGUGGGGAUGACGUCAAAUCAUCAUGCCCCUUAUGACCUGGGCUACACACGUGCUACAAUGGUUGGUACAACGAGUUGCGAGUCGGUGACGGCGAGCUAAUCUCUUAAAGCCAAUUUCAGUUCGGAUUGUAGGCUGCAACUCGCCUACAUGAAGUCGGAAUCGCUAGUAAUCGCGGAUCAGCACGCCGCGGUGAAUACGUUCCCGGGCCU